rnacentral:rRNA from 1 species
UACAGAGGUCUCAAGCGUUUGUUCGGAUUCAUUGGGCGUAAAGGGUGCGUAGGCGGCGCGGUAAGUCGGGUGUGAAAUUUCGAGGCUUAACUUCGAAACUGCAUUCGAUACUGCCGUGCUUGAGGACUGGAAAGGAGACUGGAAUUUACGGUGUAGCGGUGAAAUGCGCAGAUAUCAGGAGGAACACCGAUGGCGAAGGCAGGUCACUGGGCCGCAACUGACGCUGAGGAGCGAAAGCAUGGGGAGCGAACAGG